rnacentral:rRNA from 1 species
GACGUAGGGCGCGAGCGUUGUCCGGAUUUAUUGGGCGUAAAGAGCUCGUAGGCGGCUUGUCGCGUCGUCCGUGAAAACCCACAGCUCAACUGUGGGCUUGCGGUCGAUACGGGCAGGCUGGAGUUCGGUAGGGGAGACUGGAAUUCCAGGUGUAGCGGUGAAAUGCGUAGAUAUCUGGAGGAACACCGGUGGCGAAGGCGGCAUCCUGGACCGACACUGACGCUGAGGAGCGAAAGCCAGGGGAGCAAACGGG